rnacentral:rRNA from 1 species
AUUGAACGCUGGCGGCAUGCUUUACACAUGCAAGUCGAACGGUAACAGGCCGCAAGGUGCUGACGAGUGGCGAACGGGUGAGUAAUGCAUCGGAACGUGCCCAGUCGUGGGGGAUAACGCAGCGAAAGCUGUGCUAAUACCGCAUACGAUCUGUGGAUGAAAGCGGGGGACCGAAAGGCCUCGCGCGAUUGGAGCGGCCGAUGUCAGAUUAGGUAGUUGGUGGGGUAAAGGCUCACCAAGGCAACGAUCUGUACCUGGUCUGAGAGGACGACCAGCCACAGUGGGCAUGAGACUCGGCCCAGACGCCUACGGGAGGCAGGAGUGGGGAAUUUUGGCCAAUGGGCGCAAGCCUGAUCCAGCAAUACCGCGCGCAGGAAGAAGGCCUUCGGGUUGUAAACUGCUUUUGUACGGAGCGAAAAGGCUCUCUCUAAUACAGGGGGCUCAUGACGGUACCGUAAGAAUAAGCACCGGCUAACUACUUGCCAGCCGCCGCAGUAACAC